rnacentral:lncRNA from 1 species
GAACAUCUACUGAGAGGAGAUCCAAAAUCUGGCCAAACUUUCCUUGCAAAGUAACCCUGAAGCAUGCGGGAAGUUCAUUCAAAAGUCUUGAUAUGUUGGAAAUAUCUGGCAUUUUGGCUUUGAAUGGUAAUGCUUUCCUUCUUUCUGAACCCAUUACAAACUUUUUAUGCUAGCAACUGCGUAUUCAAAAAUUCCCUGAAAAUAAAAUUUUGUAUGAGUGUCAUGAUGUUAUGCAAAUGAUCAUGAAUGCAUGGUAUUUGGUUUUGGGAUAUCAUAAGGUAACUCAAAACACCCUAUUUGGUAGGCUUCUUAAUAGAUAGUUCUAAGUUGUGAAUGCAUGGUAUUUGGUUUUGGGAUAUCAUAAGGUAACUCAAAACACCCUAUUUGGUAGGCUUCUUAAUAGAUAGUUCUAAGUUGGUUACCCAUAAACCCACUCACAGGAUAGUUUCUACAUUUUUUCCCAGAGUCAUGGACCAUAACUGUAUCAACAUCAUGCAACAGGCUAGCCGUUUUAUGACAAGAGUGACGAAAGGUCUCUUCUGAGCGGGGUUUUCAUGUUGGGUGCAACAAGGAGAGGCCCUUGGAGUCCAACAUUACGCAACCACCAAAGUAGAAAUUGGUUCUAAGAGGGAUCAUAGAGUCAUGGACCCUUCAUGAAUCAACGUCAUGCGAUAGGCUAGCUGUCUUAUAACGAGAUCUACAAACAGGUCUACUCUAGGAGAGUCUUCAUGCUAGACACGCAAGGAGUGGCCCUUGGGGACUAACACUACACAACUUCAAAUUCUAAACUUAUGUGUUCUCUCUUCAUUUUCCAAAUCUCGGGUGUAGAGCUUUAUUCAUGAUAUCAAAAAUCCCAAAGCCCACAUAUGAACGUAUAUACAGAUAUACAAAUGCGAUAAAGUAGGGAUAAAGAAAUCACAUAACAAAGGAAGAAAAAUAAACAAACAAAGCUAACACACAUACGAAAACUUAAAUGAACUAGGGUUGACUCACUUAGGGAUGUUCCUGUUGUAACACCCCGAUAAAAUAAGAUAAUUAUUUAAUUUAAGUUAAUAAUAUAUUUAUUAAUUUAAUUAAAUAAUUGGAAUAUUAUUAUUGGAAUUAUUAUUAUUGGGUUAUUAUUUUAUCUGGAAUAAAAGUUGGGAAUUUGAAAAGGUCCCAUUUGGUAAAAGGGUAUUUUCACGUGAAAAGGGAAAAAGGAGACAGAAAAGUGGAUAAGGGCAAAGAGACCAUAGAACAAGGUUGAAGAGAGGAAGAGCUUGAGCUGCAAAGAAUUCGCCGGAUUAACUCAGGUAAGGGGGGUUUAUCAUCGUUUAAUGGGUAUUAUGGGAUAAUAUGUAAUGGUUAGUGAUAAAACAUUGAUUUACCUCUGAUUGGAAUAAUUAUGCUGAAAAUUGUGAACGUUUGGGAUGAACCGAAUCUGGGAUUAAAGGUGAAGGAAAUUCGUAGGAAUUAGAUGCAAUAGUGUUAGAAAUUGUGAGAUCGAAUAGGUUAUGAUUCGUGUUAGAUGAUAUGAACGAUUAUUUGUGAAAAAUUGGACUGUGGAAGGUUGAAUUGGAUAGAUCUCGCAGCAGAGAAGACCCAUAGCAGAUCUGGAAAUCUGGUUUCUGGUCAUACGCGUAUGGCACUAGGCAAUACGCGUAUGAGAUGGUCUGGUACGCGUAUGGCACUAGGCAUUACGCGUAUGGAUGAGGAAGAUGAUGUUUUGAACGUAGUUUGGUCUCUGUUGGUACGCGUAUGGGGAAGUGAUACGGUAGCAUACGCGUAUGAGAUGGUGUUACGCGUAUGGGAUUUGGCUGAGAAAUGGGCCAUACGCGUAUGGGACUAGGCAAUACGCGUAUGGGCAGGAUUGUGAUUUUUCUGUGCUGUUGUUGUGCAGUUUUUGGUUGUUCAGCUGAGUAAUGUGAUUUAGCUGAUGUACGAUAUAUUAGGGAUCAUUUCCCGUUGUUUUGAGUAGUAUAGGUAUUAGUAGAGUGUGCUAAUACUGUGGUGUUCUUUGGCAUGAUCUGAUAUGCUUAUGUGAUAAAAUAUUGAUGAUUGUGUGAUGGUAUGCAUGAUCUUGUGAAUGUAUCAGUUAUGUGUGCAUUUGUGAAUAGACUGUUUUAUGGCUUAGAGUUGUGAGCAUAUGUCUAUUCUUGAAUUGUGGUUGAUGAUUUAGCAUUGCUAGGUGAUUAGCAUGCAUAUUGUGGCCUUUAUGGUGGUAGCUAAUCCCAUGGUGAGGAAUUAGUGAGUUAGUCAUUUUGGACUGUUGUUGAUGUUUGCAUGCAGGUGAAUUAGCGUGCAUAGCAUGGCCCUUGGGGUGGUAGCUAAUUCCCAUGGUGAGGGAUUAGUGAGUGAGUCACUAGGUCUCAAAUGAGUGGGACUAGUGGGCUUGGUAGCCGUGCCUGGAUUUGGACGGUGAGGUGAACUAUAUGUUCACAAAAUAGUCGGUACGGCAUGCAUGGAGUCUCAUUGCAUAAUAUGUGUAUGGCGUAUAAUAUGAAUGGAUGUAUUCCAAUAUUAUACGUGUUUUUGUGUUGAUAUUGAGUAUGAGCAUGAAUUGUAUUGGUAUUGAGUAUGAUAUUUUGAAUUGAUGUGCCCGUUACCGAAUGUGUGAUGUGAUUAAGGUGAUGAUAUGUGUUAAAUUACUUAGCAUUACAUGAUGUUUUAUAAUGCUUAUUAUAUCGAUUGAGGAACUCACCCUUACAACUAUUUUUCGAGGUAACGGAGCAGUGAUUGAGUAGAAGCUAGUGCUUGGAGUUAGUGUAGUUCUUUAGUGGGUCAUGCUCUGGUAGAUGUAACAUCGGGAUGGGAUGUUUUACUAACGUUUUCAUUUGGUUGUUGAACAACUUUACAUGUAAUGUAUUACAUAGUUUGAAUGUUGUUGUUAUAUUUCUAUCCGCUGCGUAUUAUGCCAAAAUGUUUUAUUUUGAUUAAAUAAAUGAGCAUGACAGGAUAUUUUGGAACAUGGUGUGAAGUGUUUGGUGUGACACCUUAGUUGCAUAUUUCUCUGAUUUAUGUUUGAUGUUUUAAUUUAAAUUUUGGGGUAUUUUAGAAGGGUGUUACAUUAGUGGUAUCAGAGCAUAAGUCGGUCGAGUCGAGUCGUAAUUAUUCUGUUCCCCUGUACGGGAUAGGUGUUGUGUAACCUAUCAGUACUUACUGUUUUAGCUUGUUGGGUUUUCAGAAAGAGAUGGCUGGAAGAGGUAGAGAUGAUGCUGCGAUUGCUGAGGCUCUGGGUAUGCUAGCUGGAGUACUUGAGGAAAUCCGAAUGUUGUGGGAAUGGGAGCUGCUCGUCAGCUGAGUUGAGUUCCAGAAGAACAAUCCUCCAAUGUUCAAGGGAGCAUACGAUCCAGAUGUGCUCAGAAGUGGUUGAAGGAGAUCGAGAGGAUCUUCCGAGUGACUGAGUGUGCCGAUAACCAGAAGGUCAGGUUCGGUAUCGCAUUGAUGCUGUCAGAGAAGAAGCAGUGAUUGGAUGGGUUGCUACCCGCACUGAGUUGGAAAGCUGCUGGGAUGCUGAGAUCACUUGGGCGGUGUUCCGAGAGCGAUUCCCUGGAGAAGUACUUUCCAGAGGAUGUUGAGAGGAAAGAAAGAGAUAGAGUUAUUGGAAUUGAAGCAGGGCAAUCCUGUUACUGAGUAUGCUGCUAAUUCACAGAGCUGUUCAGUAUUACACUCCCUAUAACGAGGCUACUGGGGAAUUUCGGAAAUGUGUUGAAGUUUGAGAACGGAUUACGUCCCGAGAUUCAAGUAGGCUAUGUGGGUAUCAGCGGAUGAGAGUGUGUUUCCGCCGAUUUGGUUGACUGUUGCAGGGAUUUUUGAACAGGAUACCAAAGGCUAGAGCAGAGAGCUAUCAGCAAAGGGUUGACUUAGGAAGGCAAGAAUCAGAAUGAUCGUUGGGAACCGAAUGCAGCUGGCAAAGAUUUCCCAGCCGACGAGUGGAUGAAAGAGGUCUCUAGUGGGGAGACUCCAAGUGCCCCUGCUAAUGGUUUCAGAUGUGGUCAGGCUGGACAUCGUAUCCAUGAGUGUACCAGUGCUGAGAAGAAGUGUUUUUUUAAGUGUGUGCCAGAAGGUGUCACUUGGCUGCAGAUUUGCGGUUGAAGACUGUGACUGUGUUCACCUAUGGAGAAUGGGUCAUAUCAGUCACAGAUGUCCGCCGAAGAAGGGAGAAUCAUCGGGAGGCAAGGUCUUUGCUUUAAUCGGGUUCUGAGCUUUUGCAGAUGAUCGUUUGAUCCGAGGUACGUGUUAUAUUAAUGGCUUUCCUUUUGUAGCUAUUAUUGACACAGGUGCGACCAUUCCUUUAUAUCUUUGGAUUUGGAUGCCUGUGAAACUUAAGUUAGAGAUAUCUGAAUGCGGCGAAGUAGGUGAUGAUACUCCUCGAAGGGUUCAGUGACUAUAACUUCAGUUUUUUGAAUUGUCCUUUGAGUAAUCUUUGGUAAGAGACUUGGGAUGGACCUCGUGUGUCUUCCACUAGUGCAGGUUGAAUGGUUAUCCUGGGUAUGAACUGGUUGGUGUUUAACCGAGUCUAUAUCAAAUUGUUUUGACAAGAACUGUGAUCUUUCCUUAGGAGUGUGAUAGGGAAGGAUUUGUUUCCAUCAGCGAGAGUCAGGUGAAUGAGGCUAGUAACGGAUGGGGCAGAGUUGUUUUAUGGCUGCUAGCGACUUUGGAGGCUAAAGAUAUAACUUGGCGAUUGCGAUCUAGCCGUGGGUGUGAUUUUCCUGAUGUGUUUCCUGAAGGAAGUGAAUGAAUUACCGCCCAGAACGUUGAAAGUUGAGUUCUCGAUUGAUUUUGGUUACCUGGUCUAAGGCCGUGUCGAUGGCUCCGUACGUAUUGUGUCUGCUGUUAGUUUAGCUGGAAUUGAAGAGUCAGCUGGAGAUCUGGGGAUAAGAAAUUUAUUCGUCCGAGUGUGAUCACCGUGGGUUGGCACGAGUGUAUUGGUUAAGAAGAAAGAAGUUGUAUCUCAUGAGGUUGGUGUGGACCUACAUGCGCCGGGGAACUGAAUUAAAGUGACAUCAAGAAUUGGUAUCCUUUUGCCGAGGAUUGAUGAUUUGAUGGAUCAAGUGUUUGGUGCGAGGGUGUUCAGGCAAAAGUAGAUUUGAAAGAUCUGGUAUCAUCAGAUUACGUGUGAGAACUGAGGAUAUUCAGAGACUGCUUUCGAACCAAGGUUAUGGGACAUUAUGAGUAUUUUGUAAUGCCUUUUGGUGUGACUAAAUGCGCCUGGAGUAUUUAUGGAGUAUAUGAAUAGGAUUUUCCCAUUCCGUACCUCUAGAUCAGUUGUUGUGGUGUUUAUUGACGAAUAUUUUGGUUAUUCGAAAAUCUGAAGAAGAGCAUGCUGAACAUGUUGAGGAGUGGUUUUCGGGAGUUCUGCGAGAAAAGAAGUUAUUUGCUUAAACUGUCUAAGUGGUGAAUUUUGGUUAGAAAGAGGUUAGUUUUCUUGGUCAUGUAAUUUCAGAGGUGGUGUUGCUUUGAUCCUUCUAAGAUAGAAGCGGUAUCUCUAAGUGCGGAAGCUCCAAGUCAGUUUCUGAGUAAGGAGUUUUUCUUGGACUGCAGUAUUAUAGGAAAUUCAUUAAGGGAUUUCUAAGUUGCGGUUACCGUUGACGAUGUUGACUAGAAGGGGCAAGCGUUUGUUUUGGGCUCAAAAAUUUGAAGAAGGUUUCCAAGAGAUAAGUGCAAGGUUAACUACUGCUCCUAUUCUGAUACACGAGUUCGUCGGAAUCAUUUGAGUUACUGUUGAUGCUUCAAUUGUUGGGUUUGGGUGGUAUUGGAUGCAGAAUAAGCAGUUAUAUGCUUUUGCUUCGAGACAGCUGAGGGUUCAAUGAGAAGGAACUAUCCGACAACGAUUUUAGAGUGUGGCAGCCGUGUAUUCUAAUUAUGGCAAUUACUUGUACGGGUCAAGAUUUUUGAGGGUUUUCAUAGUGAACCGAUAAAAAGUUUAAAGUAUUUUUUUGUGUAUGCAAGAAAGAGCUGAAUAUGAGACAGAGGAGAUGUUAGAGUUUCUGAAGGAUUAUGAACUUUGGUUUGAAUUACCAUCCGGGUAAACAAACGUAGUGGCUGAUGCAUUGAGUCGGAAAAUCUUGCAUAUGUCUUGUUAAUGGUUAAAGAAUUGGAUUUAAUUGGAACAGUUCAGAGACUUGAGGUUUGGUGUGGUGAGAGUAGUUUAAAUGGGAAUGUUGAAGUUAACGGAGUGGUUAUUCUGGAUGAGAUUAGAGAGGGGUCCAGAAAUCCGAUGUGCUUUUGGUUGACAAGCUUGACUCUAGUGAAUCAAGGUCAAGGUGGUGAAUUCAGGAGUUGAUGAGAUUGUAAUUUGGUAAUCGGGUGUUAUUUCGUAUGUUACCGAACUUAAGAAGAGUAUUCUUGAGGAAGGACAUCGAGUGGCCUGAAGUAUUCAUCCUGGCAGCUACGAAGAAUGUAUCAUGAUUUGAACAAAAGUUUAUUUUGGUGGCCGGGAAUGAAAAGAGAAAUUUGCGAGUUUUGUUUAUCGUUGUUUGACUUGAGUAAGUGCGAAUUGAGCAUCAGAAGCCGUCUGGGCUAAUGCAAACCGUUGGCUAUUCCAGGAGUGAGUGGGAAUAGUAUCGUUAUGGAUUUGUUUCUGGUUUACCGAAGGACAAUUAAGAUUUUGAAGCUAUUUGGGUGAUGUUUGACAUGAUUGACGAAAUCGGCUCAUUUCAUUCCGAUCAGAAUGGAUUAUCCGUUAGGAAGAUAGCGAGUUGUAUAUUGAGAAAGAAUUGUAAGGUGUGCGAUGGUAAUUCCGGUCGGGAGAAAAUUGUUUUCGGACAGAGAUCCUAGAUUUACAUCUAAGUUAUGGGAAGGUUUGCAGAAGGUUUGGGAACUAGCUAGAGUUGAGUCUGCCAUUCAUCAAGCAGACUAGAUGGUCAGACCUGAGGACGACGAUUCAGUCACUAGAGGAUCUUUUGAGGGCUUGUGUUUUGGAAAAGGGAGUGCUUGGGAUUGUUAUUACCUUUGAUUGAGUUUACCUACAACAAUAGUUUUCAUCUCGAGGCAUUGGUAUGGCACCGUUUGAAGCUUUGUAUUGGUAGGAGAUGUCGACACCUUUAUGUUGAGGUAUGAGUCCGGUGAGAGUGCUGUGGUUGGACCGGAGUUGUUCAUCAACUACGGAAAAGCAUUAAGAAUGAUUCAGGACAAGAUGAAGGAUUGCUCAGGUCGUCAGAAGAGUUAUCAACGACAGAGAAGGAAAGUCACUUGAGUUCAAGAGGGGGAUCAUGUGUUUCUUCCGUGUACUAUCCGAUAACUGGGGUUGGUCGAGCUUUUAAAGUCGAAAAAAGUUUGACACCUCGAUUUUAUUGGGUCCUAUUCAGAUUUUUGGAGAGGAUAAGGGAGGUAGCCUAUCGUAUCGCUUUUACCGCCGUCACUGCGAAUUUGCAGAAGUUUUCAUGUGGGGUUUUCUCUCAGUUGAGGAGGUACAUUCAUGAUCCGCGCCUGGGGUCUCCGAGUAGAUGAUGGUCCAGGUGAGAGAUAACUGACUGUUGAAACAUCACCUAUUGAGGAUUUGAGGAUCGAGAGUAGCAGUUGCGCGGUAAGAGAAUUGCUUUGGUGAAGGUAGGCUUGGGAGACCAGCAGGUGGCAAUGUGACUGGGAACUUUGAGAAGUUCAGAUUGAAGAGUUCCUAUCCAGAGUUAUUCCGCUUGAGGUAUGUUUUCGAGGAACGAAAACUCUUUUAGUGGGGGAGAGUUUGUACACCCCGAUAAAAAUAAGAUAAUUAUUAAUUUAAGUUAAUAAUAUAUUUAUUAUUUAAAUUAAAUAAUUGGAAUAUUAUUAUUGGAAUAUUAUUUAUUGGGUUAUUAUUUUAUUGGAAUAAAAGUUGGAAUUAGAAAGGUCCCAUUUGGUAAAAGGGUUAUUUUCACGUGAAAAGGAAAAAGGAGAAAGAAAAGUGGAUAGGGCAAGAGAACCAUAGAAACAAGGGUUGAAGAGAGGAAGAGCUUGAAGCUGCAAGAUACCGGUUAACUCAGGUAAGGGGGUUAUCAUCGUUUAAUGGGUAUUAUGGGAUAAUAUGUAAUGGGUAGUGAUAAAACCAUUGAUUUACUCUGAUUUGGAUAAUUAUGACUGAAAAUUGUGAACGUUUGGAGAUGAACAAUCUGGAUUAAAGGUGAAGGAAAUUGUAGGAAUUAGAUGCAAGAUAGUGUUAGAAAUUGUGGAGAUCGAAUAGGUUAUGAUUCGUGUUAGUAUGAUAUGAACGAUUAUUGUGAAAAAAUUGGGACUUGGAAGGUUGAAUUGAUAGAUCUUCGCAGCAGAGAAGACCAUAGCAGAUCUUGGAAAUCGGUUUUGGUCAAUACGCGUAUGGCACUAGGCAACGCGUAUGAGAUGGUCUGGUACGCGUAUGGCACUAGGCAUUACGCGUAUGGAUGAGGAAGAUGAUGUUUUGGAACGUAGUUUGGUCUCUGUUGGUACGCGUAUGGGGAAGGAUACGCGUAGGCAAUACCGCGAUGAGAUGGUGUUACGCGUAUGGAUGCUGAGAAAUUGGGCAUACGCGUAUGGACUUAGGCAAUACGCGUUUGGGAGGAUUGUGAUUUUCUGUGCUGUUGUUGUGCAGUUUUUUGGUUUUCAGCGAGUGAAUUGUGAUUUAGCUGAUGUAACGAUUACUUAGGUUUUUCGUUGUUUUUGAGUAGUAUAGUAUUAACGUAGAGUGUGCUAAUACUGUGGCUUGUUCUUUGGCUUGAUCUGAUUGCUUAAUGUGAUAAAAUAUUUGAUGAUGUGUGAUUGGUAAUGCAUGAUCUUGUGAAUGUAUCAGUUAUGUGUGCAUUGUGAAAUAAGACUUUUUUAUGCUUAGAGUGUGAGCAUAUUCUAUUCUUUAGAAUUGUGGUUGAUGAUUUAGCAUUGGCUAGGUGAUUAGCAUGCAUAUUGUGGGCCUUUAUUGGUGGUAGCUAAUUCCCAUGGUUGAGGAAUUAGUGAGUUAGUCAUUUUGGACUGUUGUUUGAUGUUUGCAUGCUAGGUGAAUUAGCGUGCUUAGCAUGGCCCCUUGGGGUGGUAGCUAAAUUCCCAUGGGUGAGGGAUUAGUGAGUGAGUCACUAUCUCAAAUGAGUGGGACUUAGUGGGCUUGGUAGCCGUGCUGGAUUUGGACGGUGAGCGUGAACUAUAUGUUCACAAAUAGCGGUACCGCAAUGCAUGGAGUCUCAUUGCAUAAUUAUGUUAUGGCGUAUAAUAUGAAUGGAUGUUAUUCCAAUAUUAUACGUGUGUUUUGUGUUGAAAUUGAGUAUAUGAGCAUGAAUUGUAUUGGUAUUGAGUAUGAUAUUUGAAUUUGAUGUGCCGUUAUCCGAAUGUGUGAUGUGAUUAAAGGUGAUAUAUGUGUUAAAUUAUACUUAGCAUUACAUGAUGUUUAUAAUGCUUAUGUAAUAUCGAUGAGGAACUCACCCUUACAACUAUUGUUCAGGUAACGAGCAGUGAUUGAGAUGAAAGCUAAGUGCUUUGGGUCUAGUGUUAGUUCCCUUAGUGGGUCAUGCUCUGGUAGAUGUAACAUCGGGGAUGGAUGUUUUACUACGUUUUCAUUUGGUUGUUGAAACAACUUACAUGUAAUGUAUUACAUAGUUUGAAUGUUGUUUGUUAAUUCUAUCCGCUGCGUAAUUAUGCAAAUGUUUUAUUUUGAAUUAAAUAAAUGAGCAUGACAGGAUAUUUUGGAACAUGGUGUGAAGUGUUUGUGUGACACCCUUAGUUGCAUAUUUACUCUGAUUUAUGUUUUGAUGUUUUAAUUUAAUUUUGGGAUAUUUUAGAAGGGUGUUACACUUGUCCCCAGCAGAGUCGUCAUCUGUCGCACCUCGAAAAGUGAGAACACAACUUAAGCGAGGCACAAUCGCACACUCGUAUGAUGGACUGAACAAAGUCGCCACCGAACUUUAUUUAUUCCCAAAUAGGGAAAGGGGAAAUAUCGAUAAAACCUCUAAAAGAAAGGAUAAAAUAUGGUCAUCGCAACCAAUAUCAGGGUUCGGGAGUCGAUUACGCAAGGGGAAGAUAUUAGCACCCCCCACGUCCGUUGUACUCAAUGGGAACCAUUAGGUUAAUUAUGCGCGUUAGUGUUAGCUUAGAAAUGUUAGGCUUCUCGAGUUAUUAGGUGGGAAAGAAAGAAUAGAAGAGAGAAGAAUGUUUUUGGAUUUUUGCAACGAAGGAGACUAAACCUAAGUUUUUUAUUAAUGGGCCUGACAAGAUUUCGUAAUCCUGCUCCUACGUAUCUCAAUCGAGAACUCAAGGUUUACGUAGUUGUAGGUAGAAAAAUGUUUGUUUGUUGGUUGAUUUUAGCGAAAGCUAUAUUGUAUUAAUCGAUGAAAAAAAACAUUAUUUUACCCAAAAUAGAUGAGGAGCGGACGUAUACCACACAUCAAAUGGAUUUACAAAUCAACAUUCGGAAAAACGUCAUUUAUCUCAACUUAACAAUUAUGGACGAAGCAUUGUUUCACAUCAUCUUAAGACAAUAUGUCUUUUGUUUAUGAAAAUGUUUUUUCACAUUAAUUGCACGGAGGCGAGAAAAGAGUUUGAUGUGUUGGAUGUAUUUUAUAGGUGAAUGACGAAUAUUUGAUGAGAACGAGACAUGAGCCUCGGGAUCAAUCACUCGGGGUUCCACCGGAAUACUAGAUUCCAAUGGUCCUUUUUCAUUCGAAUCAGUUGAGAAAUUUGCUUGAUGGACAACAAACGCUUGAUAAUAAUCAAUUGCUCAAAGGGUUACAUCAGAAUGCGAGAUCCCAACGACCCUUAUUUGUCCAAAUUAAUUAAUGUGUUUUAAAAAAGAUGAACAGUUAAUCUAAAACGCGUGGUUCAAGACCGAUCAUUCAAGGGUUCCUACCGGAAUGCUAGAUUCCAAUAGUCCACUUCUUUUGAGUUAUUCAAAAAAAUGUUUUAAUAUUUUAACUUAAAUAGUAAAGCGUUUUAAUUGGGAUAAGAAACAAAUUAAUCAGAUUAAAAUGUAUAACUUGGGGUAGGAUCAAAGUUUAAGAAAGUAGUCAUAAGUAUUUUAUUUUAUUAAUUAGUCAACAUCAAUACUAAAUAUUUAUUUAAUUAUUUAUUCGUAAUAUUCUAACAAUAAUAAAUAAAAACUACAAAGAAAAUGAUAUUAUAUGAAAAUAAUAAUUCUAUAGUUAUUCAAACAUUUAGAGAAAAUAGCAAGAAAUUAAGUUGAAGAAAAAUACAAUUAUAUUCUUUUAUGUCUAGUAAAAUAAAGUGAGAGAAUAAGACCAAUUUAAUAUUAGACAUAUGCAUAUUAUUUAUAAAAAAUCUGAAAAUAAAACAAUUAAAUACUUUUUUAUUCUCUUUAAAAUCUACCUAAAAUAACAACCAAAGAAAAUAAAUUAAACAUAAUCUUUUUAUUUUUCUAACAUAAUCUAAUGAUAAAAAUAAAUAUAUUUAAAUUAACUCUUUUUAUAUUUUUAUAACAUAAUUUAAAAUAAUGAUGAAAAUAACUAAAUUAACUAUUUUUUUUAUAAAAAAAUUCUUAUAACAGAAUCUAAAAAUAAUAAUCAAAAUAACUAAAUUAACUUUUUUUUAAUAUUUCUUAUAACAAUCUAAAAAUAAUGAUGAAAACGACUAAAUUAAUCUUUUUAAUAAUUUUUAUAACAUGAUCUAAAACUAAUGAUGAAAAUAACUAAAUUAAAUUUUUUAAUGAUUUUUAUAACAUAAUCUAAAUUAAAAUAAAAUAGAAUAAAAUAAAAGGUAAACUUAUUUUUUUUGAAUUUUUAUGACAUGAUCUAGAAUUAAAUUAAAUAAAUGAUAAACUCCUUUUUUUUGGAAUAUUUUUAUGACAUGAUCUAGAAUUAAAAGAAAAUAAAUGGUAAGCUUUUUUUUUGAAAUAUUUUAUGACAUGAUCUAAAAUUAAAAGUAAAUAAAUGGCAAACUUAAUUUUGAUGAAUUUUUAUGGCAUGAUUUAAAAUUGAAAGUAAAUAAAUGGCAAACUUAAUUUUUUGGAAUAUUUCAUGACAUGGUUUAAAAUUAAAAGUAAAUAAAUGGCAAACUUAAUUUUUUGGAAUAUUUUAUGACAUAAUCUAGAAUUUAAAGAAAAUAAAUGCUAAACUUAUUUUUGAUGAAUUUUUAUGACAUGAUCUAGAAAUAAAUGGUAAACUUAAUUUUUUGGAAGAUUUUAUGACAGGAUCUAAAAUUAAAAAUAAAUGGUAAACUUAUUUUUUUGGUUUUUGUGACAUAAUAUAAAAUUAAAAUUAAAUAAAUGUUGAACUUAAUUUUUUUGAAAUUUAUGACAUAAUCUAAUAAUAAUAAUGAAAAUAACUAUAUAAACUUUUUUUUUAAAAGUAAAAUAAAAUAAAAUUUAUAACAUAAUCUAAAAUACAAGGAAAAAAUGGAAAAAUCUUUUUGUGAUUUUACUAUUAUGAUUUCUAUGUAUUUAUUUAUUUAUUUUAUUUGUAAAAUAAAUAACAAAAGAAUAAAUUGAUUUAAAUGUUUUAAGAAACAAAAGAAAAGAAUGAGCAAUUAACUCAAAACGCGAGGCUCGGGACCGAUCAUCUGAGGGUUCCCAUCGGAAUGCUAGAUUCCAACGGUUCUCUUCUGUUUUUAUAUGUUUAGAAAAAAAGUUUUAACAUUACACUUAAAUGGGAAAAUGUUUGAAUCGGGAUAAGAGACAAUUUAAUCGGGUUUAGAAAUAAUGGGUAUUUGACUAAGAUAUCAUCAAAUAGUUAUUUAUUUAAUUUGCAACAAAAGAUAGAUAAAUAGACAAAUUAAUUAAAACGUAGGAUGAAUAAUAAAAAUAAAUUAAAAAUUACAACUACAUGUAUUAUCCAUAUAGUAAUACAAAAUAUUCCAAUAAACUAAUUUUAAAUUAAAAAAAAAAAUAAAACUCAAAAUUAUUUUUUAUUUUUUUAAUAACAAUAAAAAAACUAAUCUAUUUUCAAUGUUUUAACAAAAAUAAGAAAUGACGAUUAUAAGAAAAUAAAUUAAUAAAACCAAAAACAACCAAAGCCAAGGAUCAAACUAGAGACUUGGUGGGAGAUGAGGGAAGUCUCCACCACCAGGCCAAGAGUGGUUGGUUAGAAAUCUAACGCGUCCACCACAACAAGUAUUAACUUACCUGAUUUAUUUUUAAAAAAUAAAAUAAAAGAACAUAAUGGGCCAAGGAACGAAUGGGCCUCUUAAAAAACAAACGAAGGGUUAGAUCCAGGGCGGACCGGGUCAGAUCCGACCCGGUUUAUUUGUUACUAACAACAACAACUUAGAAACCCUAAGCCAAAUUCAUGGCCGCUCAAACCUGUAACCAAACGAAAAACUUCUUCCUCCUCAUCUCGAUUUCAGACUUCUUUCCUAGAUUUCGUUUGACUUCUUACUACGAUUUUGGCCGGCCAACACUCACGUUUCCAGCCUAAUGAACACGCGACAGCUGCUGCUCAAAAACCUCAUUCGGUUGUGUUCCUCACGAAUCUGGCCUCGUCCAAAUGCGAUUUCGACCGCCUCAAAAACCGGCGACGAUUCUGGCCGCUCUCAAACCGCGAUUGCGACCUCACUCAAACCGCGACUGCGGCCGCUCAAGAAAACCGGCAACGAUUUCGGCUGCAUCCCUUAACCCCUAUUCCGACCUCACUCAAACUGCGACUGUGGCCGCUCAAGAAAAAAUGGCGAUGAUUCUCUCUCGAAAUCUAAUAUAACAAAACCUAAGGUAUUCGAAAUGAAAUCUUAAAGAGAGUAAAGAGGUAUACCAGAAUGGGAAACGAAAAUCCGGCGUGGCGGUUAGAAUCUUCAAGCGUGGCAGCAAUGCUGUAAGGUUCAGUUCCCUCCUCUUUUUAUUUCUUGCACUUAAAUUUGUGUUCUUGAUGUUCGUUGAUGGUUAUUAUUUUUUCUUGUGUUGUAUGUUUAGUGGCUAGGUUUUUUUUGUUGAUUUGUUAUGUGUUUGAAUCAAUACGAUGGCCGCCUUCAGAUCCCCCUCCAUACUUUCUGUUACUUCUUAUUUAUAUUGAAGAAAAUAAAUUAGGAUUGUUUGAAUAUAAAAAUAUUUUUUAUUUUGAUUCAAUUUAAUUUCUGAUGAAAUCCCUGCUUAAAUGCUCAAAUGGUGAUACUCUGCUCUAUCCCUUUUUACAAUUGACCUUUUAAAAUAAGUUUUACUUAAGAAAAAUGCUAACUGUUGUGUUCUGUUAUCAAUGCUGCAACAAGAC